GACCGUCCGGCAGGCUUCGAGUGCUGGCGCACAGUGAGAGCAAAGGAAACUUCCCUUUCCCCGAACUCUCUCCCAGUGACUAGGAAGGGUGCUCACUGCCCCGGGCAAACAAGGGAGGCAACCCGGAGCGCCAUUUGAACACGCCCCAUUCCCACGAGGGCGGAGGUGGAGAGACGGCCGCUCGCAGUACGGAGGCUGGCUGGGGGAGGGCUCUGUUCGGAGUUGUCCGCUCUCUCCGCGCCUCUUCACGGGUCCGGGAUCAGCGCGGGAGGGGAUCUGGACUUAAAGGAAUCUUUCUACUCCAAGCUACUCUCCGCCCCGCUGGCCUCCAGGCGUUCUGCCCUGCGAGGGCAGCGGGCGGGGGCGGCCACUGUCCCGACACCCACCCGCUUCCAGAGUCUUUGGUGACUGUAGCCGCUGCGGGAGAAUGAGCCCAAAGGAGCAGACGGAAGCCGGCGGGACUGCCAGGGCUCCCUCUCACGGGUCCCCCCUCGAGUCCUUUCUCUUCGCGCGGGGUCUUCCCUUCCUCCAACUGGGAGACUCUGAGUCGGAAGGAAGCCUAGACUCCUCCCAGAAAAAUGCAUUCUCAAUGCAUCCGGAGCAUCCAUCUACCGGAUGCUCCAAAACCUUCUGCGCAUCGCUGGCCCCUCCGGAGCACCCAGUGGGCCCUCACCCCACCCGGGAAGGGGUGGCUUUCGGUGCGGACCCUCUCGCCCUCUUGCGCCCCACCUGGGCCGGCGGCCUCACCCUGCAGCUCGCCCGGGAAGGGCUAGGCGGUGCUAACCGGGCGGAGAGCCGUUUAUUGAUGUACACUGAGAAAAGGCUGCCCGGGGUCCGCACCUCUGCGUCCGCCUCUGGGGUGCAUCUUGCUCCCGGAGUCCAGCCCCAGGGGAGGUCGGAGCAGGAGAGGUUGCUGGAGGGGCGUGAACUCCGAGCCGGAGAGUUAGGUGCAUCAAACGUCAGGUGGCGUCAGGCUCAGUCCGUUGACCCUUCUCAGUGUAACCAGAUUCUCCCAUGAGCCCAAGAGCGCCCUUACCUAGACCCGCGCCCCCCCCCUUUUUUAUAACGCGCCGCACCUAAGAUUUGUUAACAUUUCGUCUAGUUGUUUUUGUCCUCGAAAUCUCCGCACUCUUCCACUGUGAACUGAUUUCACAGGCUCCCCGGCAGAGGGCACCCUUACUCCGAGUUCUCCAGCGCUCCAGGGCCUUAACUGGCAAGGUGGGACUUCCGCAGCUUCCCUGUUUACAGCCAUUUCCUGGCGAUGGUGCUCUUUCCUCCUCCUCUCAAACAGCAGGCGUUCUCUAGCAGAUCUCUAGGUAGAUCUGGUCUCUCCCUCAUCAGCGGUGAGGCUUAGGGGGUCCCUGCCCGUAUUUUCUCUAGCAGAACCACUUUGAGCUGUCUUUUUAUUUUUUUCCCCUGGGAACUAUUUACAUGUUAAGGAGCCACAGAACCUCCAACCUAAGCAAAGCAGCCCAGAGAAGCAGAGUGUGCGGGUGUGCAUUGGAGCGUGUGGAGAGAGAGGGGAAGGGUGAUGGCUGGGUAGUUUCUGAAACAGGCUGAGAGAAGGCUUUCUCUGUUUUCUGAAGUCACCUCAGAUUCCAGUUAAUUUAGCAGAUGAAAGCACCUACUCUGUGCCAGGCACUCCAUUGCACACCGUGUUAGUGAAACAAGCUGUGGGUUUGACGCUGUAAGAUCAGCUGGAAUUCUGGCUCUCUCCCGAUGAAUUUCCUCUUGUUCAUAGCACUUAACCACUAGGCAACCACACUCUUGUAUAAAAUCAUUUUUUCCAUUUAACAUAUAUAUUUAUAAAGUGCUUGGUUCCCUUACCAAGCUUGUAGUAAGACAAACAAUAAGUAAGAGUAAUUUAAUCAUCUGUUGAGAGGGGGCUUAUUGUAUAGAGAUUUGCAGCCAUUUUAUGGACUUUGGCCUUAAUGUAAAAGAAGUGGGGAGCCAUUCAUGAGUUCGGAGCAGCCAACAGACCUGCUCAGGCACCGCCCUGGCUGCUGUGUGGAGCGCAGACCGAGGAGCCCAUUGGGCAGAACGGAGGUCCAGGAAGUGAUCCAGGAGAGAGAGGCUGCUGCCAGGCCAGGGGGCACUGCUGCAGGUGGAGAGGAGUGGUCAGAUUCUGGAUAUGCUUUUCAAAGGAGAAUAAAAGAAGAUUCAGUUGUGGGGUGUAAGAGAAAGAGAGGCAUGGAAAAAGACUCUAAGCUGCUGAAAGAAUAGUUGCUGCUGAAGGAAACUGGGAGACUGUGAAGAGGCUUUUCUAAUACAAACCUCAGGUCCAAAGAGGCUUUGUUUUGGACUUGAGGUUGGUAUUAGAAAAACUAGGAGAAAGGUGGGCUGCAGGCAGGUGUGAGGCGGUCCGGAUACAUACAGGCCGUGCCUGGGGCCACAACGCACUCAUCACGCCUCUUCCCUCUGCUCAGCUAGAACUCCCAUGAUCCUCUCUCGUUCAUGGUUCUAUUCACAGUACCUGUUCAGAGAACAUGUUACAAUGAACCUACCUUCUCUGACUCUCCUCAUAACAUGUAAAUGAGUAUCAACAUGACACCUAUUAGUUUAUUGCCAGGAAAAGUUAAAUGAGAUGACAAAAGUGAAAAUGGCUUAGAAGUAAUAGACACUCAGGGUAUUUGAAAACUGUAGGUUUGAUUAUUUCAUUUUCUACUGUUUUAACUCAAGUUGAUAGGAACUUCAUAUUUUAUAUAACAAUGAUAACUUCAUAAACAAUUCCUCGUGCAUGCAGGGCAAAUGGCAUUCCCAUUUUGUGGAGGAGGGAAGUAGGCUCGCUGAGGUAAAACAACUUCCCGGAGGGGCCCGUCUAACAGUAGAAUAGUGGCUAACAUAUCUGAGCAUGCGUGUGUCAGGCACUGUGCUGAUGAUUCUGCCUGUAUCUUGCAACACUCCAAGGUGGGUAUUAUUAUCCUCAUUUGCAAAACAGAGAAGCACAGAGAGGACGAUGAACUUAGUCAAGGUCCCCAGUGAGUGGGUCGCAGAGGCCGGGUCGAGAGGCAGACAUGCUGAUCCUGACUCGAAUGUUCUUUUCCAAGCCUGGUAGCACCUCUUUCUCAUUCACAUCCUAGACUGCUGCUGCCAGGACUGGGUCUCACCAAAGGCGAAGUAAGUGGCUGCCUCCUUGCUUUGAAGUUGGCAGAAUUCUUUCUCACGCUUUUCUCCGACCAGGCCUGCUUCAGGAUCUGAAAGUGCAGUCACUUGAGAAGCUGCAGAGCAAGCUUGAUCAAAGCGUUUGAUGCAUUACUCCCUCUCAGUGGAAUGUCCAUUCCCCUCUUUACAUGAUGAAUAGCUCUUCCGCGUUCUCCCAAAUUCUUGUGAACUACAAUGUGUUUUUCUAAAUCCAGCCCUUAUAUCCCUUCUACCGUGAAGUGACCUUCCCUGCUUGCACCUGAGUUUGUCCCGGCUUAGCUCACAUGACACUCUGUUCAUACCUCUGUGGUAGCAAGUGUCACAACAACAGUUCCCUGCGGAUCUGACAGAUGCCACUGUAAGACUGUGAUUUCCUCUAGGCAAGUGUCUUCUUCUCAUGUGUUUGAAUUCAACAUGGUGUUUGCUUCAUGAAUACAUAGCUUUUGUUUCAGAAACUACAGAUAAGGCCCAUCCUGGCUCCUGGGAAAACAGCCGACCUCCUGGGGCAAUGCCAGAGAUGACCGCCUGGGGACAACUGGAGGCUUCCAGGCCUUUGUGUUCCAGGGAGAGACAGACAGACGA